UACGAAGGGGGCUAGCGUUGCUCGGAAUCACUGGGCGUAAAGCGCACGUAGGCGGCUUUCUAAGUCGGGGGUGAAAUCCUGGAGCUCAACUCCAGAACUGCCUUUGAUACUGGAGAGCUAGAGUCCGGAAGAGGUGAGUGGAACUGCGAGUGUAGAGGUGAAAUUCGUAGAUAUUCGCAAGAACACCAGUGGCGAAGGCGGCUCACUGGUCCGGUACUGACGCUGAGGUGCGAAAGCGUGGGGAGCAAACAGG
rnacentral:rRNA from 1 species